rnacentral:rRNA from 1 species
UGGGGAAUAUUGCACAAUGGAGGGAACUCUGAUGCAGCGACGCCGCGUGAACGAAGAAGGCUUUCGAGUCGUAAAGUUCUUUUAUAUGGGAAGAUAAUGACGGUACCAUAAGAAGAAGCCCCGGCUAACUACGUGCCAGAAGCCGCGGUAAUACGUAGGGGGCUAGCGUUGUCCGGAAUCACUGGGCGUAAAGGGUUCGCAGGCGGAAAUGCAAGUCAGGUGUAAAAGGCAGUAGCUUAACUACUGUAAGCAUUUGAAACUGCAUAUCUUGAGAAGAGUAGAGGUAAGUGGAAUUUUUAGUGUAGCGGUGAAAUGCGUAGAUAUUAAAAAGAAUACCGGUGGCGAAGGCGACUUACUGGGCUCAUUCUGACGCUGAGGAACGAAAGCGUGGGUAGCAAACAGG